AAAAGCCAUAGUUUUUGUUCACCAUGAUAACAAACAAACAAAAGAUCAUAUAAACCAAAAAAAAAACGCUGAAAAGAUUAAAAUCGAUCUGGGUUUUCAUUUCAUCAACAAAACAGGGGAAAUAAUAGAAUAAAUUUUGCAGAAUCUCAGAAAGCAAAGAGCUUUAGUGGCUGAGAAGCAAAAACUGGGAAUUGAUUUUGAGUGAGAGGGGUUAAAGUUUCAAUUUUCAGAUAGAUUCAAAGAAAGGUUCAUU
rnacentral:lncRNA from 1 species